rnacentral:rRNA from 1 species
AGAGUUUGAUCAUGGCUCAGGAUGAACGCUGGCGGCGUGCCUUAGGCAUGCAAGUCGAACGGUUGCCUUCGGGCAACAGUGGCAGACGGGUGAGUAACGGGUAGGAAUCUACCCCUUGGUAGGGGAUAACUCAUCGAAAGAUGGGCUAAUACCGUAUAAGUUCGUAAGAAGAAAGGGCGUAACUGCCCGCCGAGGGAUGUGCCUGCCUGCUAUCAGCUUGUUGGUGAGGUAAUGGCUCACCAAGGCUAUGACGGCUAGGGGGCGUGAGAGCGUGAUCCCCACAAUGAAACUGCGACACGGUUCAUACAUCUACGGAUGGCAGCAACCAGGAAUAUUGCGCAAUGGACUAAAGUCUGACGCAGCGACGCCGCGUGCGGGAUUAAGGCCUUCGGGUCGUAAACCGCUGUGGAGAGGGAUGAAUUUUGACAGUACCUUUCUAGAAAGCACCUGCUAACUACGUGCCAGAAGCCUCGGUAAUACGUAGGGUGCUAGCGUUAUCCGGAAUCACUGGGCGUAAAGGGUUUUGUAGGCGGUAAGUUAAGUGGUGGGUUAAAGGCCAAGGCACAACCUUGGAUAUGCCCAUCAAACUAGCUAACUAGAGAUAGUUUGGGGAUGCUGGAAUUCUCGGUGUAGUAGUGAAAUGCGUUGAUAUCGAGAAGAACACCAAAGGCGAAGGCAGGCAUCUGGGACUUAUCUGACGCUGAUAAACGAAAGCUGGGGGAGCGAAAGGGAUUAGAGACCCCUGUAGUCCCAGCCGUAAACGAUGGACACUAGCUGUUUGCUCUUUAAGAGUGAGUGGCGCAAGCUAACGCGUUAAGUGUCCCGCCUGGGGAGUACGACCGCAAGGUUAAAACUCAAAGGAAUUGACGGGGAUGCGCACAACCAGCGUGCCUUGUGGUUUAAUUCGAUACAAAACGAUGAACCUUACCUAGACUUGACAUCCUGAUCAUAUCUUAUGGAAACAUAGGAGUCGGUUCGGCCGGAUCAGUGACAGCUGUUGCAUGGUUGUCGUCAGUUCGUGUCGUGAGGCGUCCUCUUAAGUGAGGUAACGAACGCAACCCCUGUUGCAUGUUAAAUAUCCAUGCAAGACUGCCCCUCUUAUUAGGGGGGAGGAAGGAGGGGACGACGUCAAAUCAGCAUGACGCUUACGUCUAGGGCUACACACAUGGUGUAAUGGGUGGUACAACGGGUCGCGACAGGGUAACCUUGAGCUAAUCCUUAUAAAACCACCCUCAGUUCGGAUUGCGGGCUGCAAUUCGCCCGCAUGAAGGGGAGUUGGUAGUAAUCGCAGGUCAGCUAUACUGCGGUGAAUACGUUCUCGCAUCUUGUACACACUGCCCGUCAAGUCAACAAAAUCAGCAGUGCCCGAAGUUGGUAUCCUUAACCAAGUUUACUUGGAAAGGACCACCUAAGGUAAGGUUGGUGAUGGGGGCUAAGUCGUAACAAGGUA